UUCAGAAUCACAUCGUCAUCACUGGAAUUCUCUUCACAGAAGAACCCGCUGUCUGGCUGUUGGGAAACCAAGCACUAUUACUGCAGCUUCUCACUGGACUACACUGACAGCAUCUCUCUUCAGCCACGCCUGCAUUUACUCCUUCUGUCCCCAGGCACCUUGGUGCUCAUUCAAUAGCACACCUGGAAGUGUGAUCAUAGGAACAUCCAGGCCAGAGAGGCAGUCAGAGUCAUCUACCAACGCGCUCAUCAUACAGUCACCAUUCUUUGGCUGCAGUCAACAGAAACCAACUCCAGCUAAUUUACUGGAAGAAUAUGGGGUGGCUCACAGACUUGAAGAAAAAAAUGAAGACUAGGUCUUUGGAAAAACACAAGCCAGGACAGCUAUGGGGUUCCACAAAGCAAGAACUAAUGAACCACCUCUUUGAGACACGAAACUAAAAGAAUUCCAGUGGUUUUCAGGCUCUACAAGUUCCCAGAGAUGGGGCCUUUGAUUGGUGUAGCUUGGCUUACUGCUUACCUCUCUGCUACCUGAAGGGGGAGCCUGUGAACUGACAGCCCAUCAGGACAGUGCCCAAUGGGGCAGAGGCUCAUCCCCCAAAGUAAAAUUGAGGCACUAUUAACAGAAGAAGAGUGAAAGGUCCCUAGGCAGGCAAAACCCACCGAUAUCCACAGAAGGCAUCUGAGGAACCAGGAAAGUUAGGAACAGGAAGAAGAAGAUCUGUACUUGGGGUUUUCUCAAAGCCUCCUGAUGCACUCUCCUCCUUCCUUCCAGCUCUGUAUCUAACCUACAGUCAUUGCUCCUCUAUUUUUCAAUUUUAUGCUGAUGCAGAUUAUGUAGAAUUAUAGAUGGUUUGCCAUCAGUUUCUCAUUGCACCAAAAUCAGUAAGAAAAUAUUCAAAAAUUGGAGGAAGUAGGAGUGGAAGAAUCAAUGGCACCUGAGUAAAACAGAGACAAAUAAAGGCAUGGUUUGCCAUGUCUGCACUUAAACAAGUAUUUUGCUAAGUCUCUAUUUGUACAGGCAAUGGUCACAGUUCACCGAUUUACCAAGUCUGAUUCCAUGGAUAAAUUGGUCUCCUUUUGUUUAAUUCAUCAAGUGACUUCUAAUUUAUAAUGUUUCUCCCUUUGUCUCAAUAUGACAAGAGGUCUUGAAGAACCCUUACACAGAAAUGUCAUAUUAUUGG